AUGUGUUGAAUUGUGUGUCUGCAGUUUGUCAGGCUGUCUGGUCUCAGAGGAAGGCUGUGCUUCUCUGGUAUCAGCUCUGAGCUCCAACCCCUCCCAUCUGAAAGAGUUGGACCUGAGCUACAAUCAUCCAGGAGACUCAGGAGUGAAGCUGCUGUCGGCUGGACUGAAGGAUCCACGCUGGAGACUGGAAGCUCUCAGGGUGGAGCCUGCUGGAGUCCGAUGGUUGACACCAGGUCUGAGGAAGUAUUCCUGUCAA